rnacentral:misc_RNA from 1 species
AUUUUUUUUAAGGACAUCGAAGACCACCUGUGAGAUUCUCACCCAAGCAAACGACUGUGGUCGGGGAGAGAGUAGAGAAUCAUGUCAUCGUUCACCGGCUCAUUCGGUGAUGAGUCGCGACUCAACUACUCCACUCGUCCCUUCGACGACGAUGGAUACGUAGGGUAUGAUUCUCGCCUAUCUUCCCAGCGAUUCGAGUCCUUCAGCAACUUUGAUAACGACUCGGUCAAGGACUCCGCCGGAGACUCGUCACCGAUCUUCACCUCCCAGGCAUAUAGCUCCGCCGAUGGCAUGUUCUCCUCUCAGCCGGUGAGCGAGAGUCCGCCAUCGAUCUUCUCUGGUGGCGGUGCAGGAUUCUCGACGUUCUCUACAGAGCAGAACGGCCAGGGAUUUAACGGAGGUUUUGGAGUGUCUGACGGUCCGAUCUUACCGCCUCCAGCAGAGAUGCAACCAGAGGACGGUUUUGCAUUGAGAGAGUGGCGAAGGUAAACUCUCGGUCUGUUCUCUGCUACUAAUCCAGUGCUUCCUUUCUAUUAUAAUCGUGUUUUGGUCUCUCCCUGAGUUUUUAAUUAGCGAUUAUUGCUUAAUUAGAUGAUCUCGCGAUUUCCAAAAUAAAUCACGAGGUGAGUUUUGAUCUUUAAAGCAAAACAUGGGAUCUUGCAUAGAUCUAAUGGUGAUCUGUCACCGGUUAUAUGAUGAAUGGAACUGUGAAUGAAAAGUGCAGGCUGAAUGCGAUUAGGCUUGAAGAAAAGGAGAAGAAAGAGAAAGAGAUGUUGCAGCAUAUAAUAGAGGAGGCAGAGGAGUAUAAGAGGGAAUUUUAUAUUAAGCGCCAACUGACUAUUGAGAAGAACAAGGCGUCUAAUAGGGAGAAGGAGAAGGUGAGAGACAAAUAUGUAUAUUCUAUUUUAAGCUUUCUUCUUGAUACUAAUCUAAUAUAAUUAUAUUCCCUUAUCAAAUUGGAUCACUCUCUCCAUUCUAUUCCACACCAGCUUUGGUUUAUAGGUAUGUUACAAGUUCAUAACUUUAUAUUCAUUCAUGAACUGAAUCAAUCCUGUGUUAGCUCGAAUCAGAGUUCUCGACUGCAACUUAGAACCAUAUCUGAAAUUGGACUUGGUCAAAUGUCUUUGCUGUUCUGUCCCUAGAAAGAAUUAAAGGGCUUAUGCUAUAAAUGAAGUUGGGAAGUGCGAAAUAUUUUGACAAUUUGACAUCUUUUAUUACAUCCACUAUCUAUUGAAUGCUGGGAAGAGGGGUGUAGGGUGAUACCUUAAGUCAUUUGACUAAGUCUUGUUUUAUACUAUCAAAGGAAUACUGGAAACCUGCACUGUCGCUAAAAUUGUUUUGAUGAAGAGCGCAUUCAUACAAGCAUUAAUUUAUAUUAUAUAAAUAAAUUCCAUCGAUGUAACUGAUCAUUAAAAAAAAAUUACUAGUGUUCAUAAUUGAUCAACACAUUUCGAAAAAAAAAAGGGGUAAUAAUGUCUGAAGUGUUCUGAUUUAUUGGAGAUUUUCUUUGAUUUAAGGAGAGGGCUAGGGUGAUCUUUGAGUAAUAACCAUGCAGAGACUACUUAAUUGUGGUUGUAUUAUUAAUAGAAGUUGUUAAAUGAAUGUGGGAGAACAAUGUUUUAUGGCCAAACCUAUCCCUCAAAGGCAAAUGAAACGAGGGAAAUAGGAGAAACGAGUGUCAAUUGAAUGUUGCAUUAAGUUCUGUUGAAUGUUGCAUUAAGUUCUGUGAGGAAUGGUAUUAGUUGAUCCUGCUUUCAAAAUUUUCUGAUUUCUAAUUUUACAUAUCAGCUAUUUUUGGCAAACCAAGAAAAGUUCCAUACUGAAGCUGAGAAGAAUUACUGGAAGCAGCUCAUUCCUGAAAAAGGAAAGAAAGAUCAAGAGAAAAGAAACCCUCCAUUGUUGUGAUCCAAGGGCCCAAGCCUGGAAAGCCAAAUGAUCUGUGAAGGAUGCGUCAAAUACUUCUUAAGCUUAAACAUAAUCCCCCUCCUUCCAUGAAGCCCAAACCACCACCAUCAGCAGAACGAGAAACAGAUGCCAAGGCUGCAGCUCCUAUAGCCACAGCUACUCUUAAUAAUGCUAUUUCCACUAAGGCUGCAGCAGCUCCUGAGGCUGUAGCAGCUGCUUGAGAAUGUUGAAUUAUGUAGUUGGGACUAAAAUAUUGGAAGCUGGCACCUGUUUUGAGCAUGUAUAUUAGGCAUAAAGCAAUUAUUGUGUAGAAAGGUUUUGUGCGAUUAUGCAUAGAAAGGCAUCUAGCAGUUGGUAGAAAGCUGUCACAUGAUUGAUAAUGUUGUACCAAUUUUUUUGGCUUUAGGUUGGGUGCGAUAUUUUGUGUUAACUUGCAAUUUGCUUAAACCACAAGUCAAUUUUUGUGAUUUUUAU